rnacentral:pre_miRNA from 1 species
AAGCAAUGAAUAGUACAUUGUACAAGAUGCAUUCGAGCAAUAAAUGAGUUUGCAUGCCCUCGUGGCUUUGUUCUUCCAACCAUUUUUGUUUGUCAUCAUCUGAUACCCUCACCCAAACUCAUUUAUUGCUCGCAUUCGUUUGUACAAUGUACAAACUCAAUUGAGA